ACAUACCAGUGGUUGACGCCUUGUACAAAACAAAUUAUUAAUGUUCCCCCCUAUACUCAGGCAUGCAGUCAGGACGCCCUGACCUACUCCCCAAGAUCCCCACACACAAUGAUGUCACCAGUAACUCUGGUGAAACAGCCCUCCAACUCAUUGUUGGGAAGCUCGGGGCUCGCUACCAUGGCUCCUCCCAUCAGGUCAGUGGGAAAGGAGGAGCACAAGGCAGCCAGCACAGAGCAGGACACUAUAGCACCCCCAAGAGGUGUUGAAGCACUGAAAUCAGUGUCAUCAGUCGACGAGUGUUUCUGUGGAGAUAACGUCAUCUCACUUAGUGGCAUAGUUCCUCAGACAUGCAGCUGAUAUGUAAGUAUUCGAUACCUCAACCUCUCAAUACUUCAACCUAUUA
rnacentral:lncRNA from 1 species